CGGCCUAAACCGUUUCCCAUUCAUUCUCUAUGGUAGUGCUAAACCACUACGGAUGUAAUAUAUCUUUGGCCACUACGGUCUUCCGGCGCUGUUGCGAGUUUGAGAUGCGGCGGCACUUUUAAAAAAUCUCCUCUUUUACGAGAAAACAAGUAACUCACCGCUCGCAACACAUCUCAACGAUCCUCGUUCAUUGAUCAAAGAUGCAGAAGAAAAUUGCGCCAUAUCCAGGGAAAAUCUCUGUGGCAUUCCGCAAGGGGCCACUUGGAUACCUUCCCCGGGACUCGUCAAAAGAAGCUCGGCGGAUUAAAAAUGUCCCCGAGCUUCAGGACAAGUCUGCACCUGUGAGGGAGGACGAUGCUCUGACUGUCAUCUAUCAGAGAGGAGGGGAUGCCUCUGACAUGAAGGAAGUGCAGGGAGAGUACAUCCUGCAGUUUGGAAAGUAUAAAGGGAAAUCUUUCCAGUGGCUUCUGGAGAAUGAAUGUCGGGUACACCAUGUACCUGAUCAAAGAUCUCCAGAAGCAAGAGGCUGCAGGGACCUCUGUGGAAGAAGGACAUGGCAAGGAGAGCUUGCAUUCAUUUGUACAGUAUGCCCUCAGCUUUACAGAGAUAAAAACUCUUCUGAACUACGAGGCCAGCAGAGUGAGUGUUGGAGCAGAAGCCUGUGAGGAUGAUCAGCUGGUUGGCUUUGGCUCAUGAGCCAAGAGCACCUGGAAGGAGAUUUGGGGUGGCAGAGGUGACGGCUAUGGAGACUUUAUCACGAGGAAGAGCUGCAGUCAAGGAACACGGAUGCAUAAGCUGCAGCAGUACGUGCGGAAGAAGCAGCAGUCUGUGUCUGCUUCCACAAAUGCUCCAACUAAACCCCUGGGGAUGGAUGAGGAUAAAGACCUGGAGGACGCAAUGCUGAGCAUCUCACCUGUAAAACUACACAUGCAGAGCUGUAAGUACUGCGUUAUUACUAAAUGUCAGACGUGAUAAUGGCUAAGUCUGUUUACAUCUCAUAUGCCUCUGUCCUCUGUCUCUGCAUAACUAGUCACUGUGCCAGCAGCAGCAGAAGGGUCCACACCCAGAGGAUCUUCAGGAGCAAACACAGGUUUUCAAAUGAAAGGUUUCAGAACUGGAGUAAAAUAGUUUUACAUGAAUUGCUCUCCAAAGCUGAGCCUGAACUUUUAUAUAUUGUCUUGUUCUUGUUUUUGUGUGUUCUGGCCACGUUCCGGCGAUGUUCCUCUAAUAGUAUAGUUGUAUGCUGGCUGUAUGGUGGAAGAAAACAGUAAAUAAGGGAGAAACAGUUGAUAUUGUAC
ensembl:lncRNA